rnacentral:rRNA from 1 species
GCGAGCCUGAUCAGCCAUGCCGCGUGAAUGAUGAAGGCCUUAGGGUUGUAAAAUUCUUUCAGCAGGGAAGAUAAUGACGGUACCUGCAGAAGAAGCCCCGGCUAACUCCGUGCCAGCAGCCGCGGUAAUACGGAGGGGGCUAGCGUUGUUCGGAAUUACUGGGCGUAAAGCGCUCGUAGGCGGAUUGGUCAGUCAGGGGUGAAAGCCCGGAGCUCAACUCCGGAACUGCCUUUGAUACUGCCAGUCUUGAGUUCGGGAGAGGUGAGCGGAAUACCGAGUGUAGAGGUGAAAUUCGUAGAUAUUCGGUGGAACACCAGAGGCGAAGGCGGCUCACUGGACCGAUACUGACGCUGAGGAGCGAAAGCGUGGGGAGCAAACAGGAUUAGAUACCCUGGUAGUCCACGCCGUAAACGAUGAGAGCUAGUUGUCUGGCAGCAUGCUGUUAGGUGACGCAGCUAACGCAUUAAGCUCUCCGCCUGGGGAGUACGGCCGCAAGGUUAAAACUCAAAUG